GACGAACGCUGGCGGCGUGCCUAACACAUGCAAGUCGAGCGAAUGAAGUUCCUUCGGGAACGGAUUUAGCGGCGGACGGGUGAGUAACACGUGGGCAACCUGCCUCAUAGAGGGGAAUAGCCUCCCGAAAGGGAGAUUAAUACCGCAUAAGAUUGUAGUACCGCAUGGUACAGCAAUUAAAGGAGUAAUCCGCUAUGAGAUGGGCCCGCGGCGCAUUAGCUAGUUGGUGAGGUAACGGCUCACCAAGGCGACGAUGCGUAGCCGACCUGAGAGGGUGAUCGGCCACAUUGGGACUGAGACACGGCCCAGCCUCCUACGGGAGGCAGCAGUGGGGAAUAUUGCACAAUGGGGGAAACCCUGAUGCAGCAACGCCGCGUGAGUGAUGACGGCCUUCGGGUUGUAAAGCUCUGUCUUCAGGGACGAUAAUGACGGUACCUGAGGAGGAAGCCACGGCUAACUACGUGCCAGCCGCCGCCGUAA
rnacentral:rRNA from 1 species